AGGUGGUGUGGUUCCCCGCUGCCCCGGAGAGGGACAAGCUCCACUGGACACCAGAGUGGGCGGAGACAGAGCACUCCAAGCCCAUCCCCCAGAGGGUCAUGUGCCGGACAGGAAGUAUAUGAGCCCAACGCCAGAGCUCACUUGGGAGGCAGUUGCUGGAGAGGCCAGACACCUCUGGCCCAGCUCCCGCCGGGGAGACUCCAGCAGUGGACUUGAAGAUGGCCGAUCCUUGAUGCGGAGCAGCGUGUGGAAGAGUCGCUGAGCUUACUCCUCACCAGCUACCCAGAAGAGUCGCUGAGCUUACCCCUCACCAGCUAUCCUGAGGAUCCAAUGGUGAUCAACCCCCCUGAGGACACCACCUGGACCCAGGUUUGUCCACCAUGGAAGAGAAGCAAUGAUCUUGGUGGGAAUUGUCACUCUGGUGUUUAUGUGGUCUCUGUCUGGAACACUGAUGGAACUAAUUGAUAGGCCUUCUUGUUUCUAGUAGAACAAGUAAUCCAAAACAUGUUGGAUAGAGACCUGACCUGGCAAAACACCCUUUCAGCUUUGACCAUAAGGAGAAUCAUUUCCACUUCAAACAGGGGCCCAUCCCAGAGAGGAGAACAGAGAAUUUAAGGACUGUGUUGUUAUUGCUGCUGCUAUUACUACUACGUAACAAGAGAAAAACACCUAGUAGCAGUGAAGAAAAUAGCAUGACAGAAAGGAAUAGAGACAGUGUUAAGUGUCAUUCCACAACCACUACUGUUUUUAAUAAAAAAUGGCGAUUUGAAAUUCAUACUCAAUCUGAAUGCAGUGGGUGGAGUAUACUAACUCUGGUUGCACAGAUCAUUUCUUUUGCUCACUGGUUCAGGAAAUGGGAGAGUUACAGAGAUAAUUACACUGAGGGUUGUCAUCCUUUGUAGGUUUUCACCAUGACUAAUAUUAUGCCUAUAUACAGUAUGCAUACCUUGUGAGGUAUUGGCUAUGUGAAGCAGAAAUCACUACCUAUGGCACUUGUCUCAACACAUCUACCAAUGUCUACAUACACCUCACGCUUCCGGUAUUUACAUAAUGCGACAUGGAACAAAAGGCUGCACUCUAACCAAUUUCCUCCACUGAGAUUUUCAGCCUCUUUGUAGAGAAACUGCUGUUGAACUACCUAUACAGUCACCUAAACAGGAAGGAAAAAUGUGGUACAGUAUCACCAACAUAUAGUCUUCCAUCGUGAAUGCUUUGAAUUUCAUAUAAUUUAAUAAGAACAAUGUUCAAAGUUGCUAUUUAAAAAAAAAAACUAGUUAUUUUAUUUGUAUAUCUUGAGGCCAAGAUACUUUCUUAUUUACAUACAUAAUUUUCCCACUUAACCAAAUUUCAUUUUCCAAAUAACCAAAUAUUCUACAGUUCAUAAAAUUGUAUCUUUAUUUUUAUAAUUUUAAAGAAAAAAAUACAAAGUUGAAAGGAAAAGUGAACAAAGUCUUUAGGCAAUUGAGUGAAAGUGCUCACCUGAGUAGUAGUCUCUCUGUCUUACAGAAUCAUUAAAGUAGAAAAAGCCACCUACCAGGAAGAAAUGUGAUAUACUUAAUAUUCAUAAAUAAUUUUAUAAUCCUUCUACAAAAAUUAAAAAUUGACUUUGCAGUAAUACCUACAGAAUCUUGGUCUUUUGUGAUGAGGCUCUAGAACAGCGGGUUUUCUAUAAAAUUUUGCCCAGCAAUAAUCAAAGUAUUUAAUGUUUAUAAUCUUUAUAUUUUUCUCUGAGUCUCAAAGUGAUGUCUGAUAUAAUAAAAAGGGAAGAACCAUGCAGAGA